CGCGUAGGCGGUUUAACAAGCUUGAUGUGAAAUACCCCGGCUUAACCGGGGGAACGCGUUGAGAACUGUUAGACUAGAGUAUAAGAGGGGGAGUUGGAAUUCCUAGUGUAGGGGUGAAAUCUGUAGAUAUUAGGAAGAACACCGGUGGCGAAGGCGAACUCCUGGCUAUAUACUGACGCUGAGGCGCGAAAGUGUGGGGAGCGAACAGGAUUAGAUACCCUGGUAGUCC
rnacentral:rRNA from 1 species